GCAGUGGAAUCAACGCAGAGUAGCAGGGGAAGCCCAGGAGAAGCAAAAAGACAUUCGGGGAAUGAAGGAGAUGAGAAGAAUGUUUUAUUUACAGUGCAGGGCAGAUAUAGCCAAAAGGUUCAAAAAAGGGGAUCAAUAGAAGAGAUGGGGAGAAAUUCCAUGAAGGAGCUUGACUCUUCCCCCACUCUCUCUGAGGCCAUACAUUCUGGAUUGGAUCCAAAACAUUGAAUCAGACCUGCAGUCCCUCCAGUCAGGUGUGUUACCUCUGACAGUAGUCAAGAUACGUGAAUAAGGAAAACCCUGAAAGAAUAUUGCCUCACAUUGCCUAUAGAGACUUCCUCAAGAGCCACUGCUGCAGACAAUAAAAUCACUGUGCCUGUGA